AUUCAAUUAGUUUAAAAAAAACCUUUCAUCUUCAGUGGGAAAAUAGAUUAUAUCUAUUGAAUG
rnacentral:tRNA from 1 species